rnacentral:rRNA from 1 species
AUAGCGUAUAUUAAAGUUGUUGCAGUUAAAAAGCUCGUAGUUGAACCUUGGGUCUGGCUGGUCGGUCCGCCUCACCGCGUGUACUGGUCCGGCCGGACCUUUCCUUCUGGGGAGUCGCAUGCCCUUCACUGGGUGUGUCGAGGAUCCAGGACUUUUACUUUGAAAAAAUUAGAGUGUUCAAAGCAGGCCUAUGCUCGAAUACAUUAGCAUGGAAUAAUAGAAUAGGACGGCGGUUCUAUUUUGUUGGUUUCUAGAGCCACCGUAAUGAUUAAUAGGGAUAGUCGGGGGCAUCAGUAUUCAAUUGUCAGAGGUGAAAUUCUUGGAUUUAUUGAAGACUAACUACUG